GACGGAGGGUGCAAGCGUUAAUCGGAAUUACAGGGCGUAAAGCGCACGCAGGCGGUCUGUCAAGUCGGAUGUGAAAUCCCCGGGCUCAACCUGGGAACUGCAUCCGAAACUGGCAGGCUUGAGUCUCGUAGAGGGGGGUAGAAUUUCAGGUGUAGCGGUGAAAUGCGUAGAGAUCUGGAGGAAUACCGGUGGCGAAGGCGGCCCCCUGGACGAAGACUGACGCUCAGGUGCGAAAGCGUUGGGAGCAAACAGG
rnacentral:rRNA from 1 species